GCUCAGGACGANNNCUGGCGGCAUGCCUAAUACAUGCAAGUCGAACGAGCUUCCGUUGAAUGACGUGCUUGCACUGAUUUCAACAAUGAAGCGAGUGGCGAACUGGUGAGUAACACGUGGGAAAUCUGCCCAGAAGCAGGGGAUAACACUUGGAAACAGGUGCUAAUACCGUAUAACAACAAAAUCCGCAUGGAUUUUGUUUGAAAGGUGGCUUCGGCUAUCACUUCUGGAUGAUCCCGCGGCGUAUUAGUUAGUUGGUGAGGUAAAGGCCCACCNAGACGAUGAUACGUAGCCGACCUGAGAGGGNNNNNGNCCACNUUGGGACUGAGACNCGGCCCNNNCUCNUACGGGAGGC
rnacentral:rRNA from 1 species